rnacentral:tRNA from 1 species
ACCUUCGUGGUGUAGUGGUCAGCACGCUGGGCGCGUAUUCCAGAGCUCCGUAGUUCGAGUCCCGGCGAAGGCU